CUGACCUUAGCUCAGUUAGUAGAGCGGAGGACUGUAGUUGAGGUAGAAUAUCCUUAGGUCAUUGGUUCGAAUCCGGUAGGUCGGA
rnacentral:tRNA from 1 species